GCACUUGUUCCUCCUUUCACUGUCUAGAGAGCCUUUCUCAAGAUAGCCACAUGCCUCUCACUCCACUUCCUUUAGGUCUCUGUUCAAAUAUCUCUUUAUUAAGAUCCCUUUUCCAAGUACUCAAUUAAAAGAAACACACACAUACUUAACACACACACACUUCACCCCAUCAAUCUCUGUCUACAUCACCCUGCUUAAUUUUUCCUCAUGUCACUGUUGACUCUUCCUUCCACUAGAAUGGACACUCCGUCAAGGCAGAGAUUUCUCCUAGUUUGUUUACAGAUAUAUUCUCAGCACCUAGAAUGGUGAAUGACACAGUGCGGGGAACCUUAAUAAAUAACUGUGAAUGAAUGAAUGAGCGAGUGAGUGACCAAACAAGUUACCAUUAACGAAGAUAUAUCCAACUGAGGAUACCAGGUAUGACUUUUGACUUGCUAAAGAAAAAUAUGAGUGGAUAGGAAAAAUACCCUCUCUUCUCUCUCUUCUUUUUAUUUCCCCAACCCUAUCAGCAUCUCUGAAACAAGAUGAACUCUCAGCAAAGUAUGCUGGAUUAAGCCUGAGUGUUCCCACUGGUAAGGUGCCCUGCCCAGUUUGGCUGUGAAGAGAAGCAGUGUGGCAGAGUGUCUGUGGAUCAGGGCCAUCGAAAGACAAGCUGCAGAGCUUCCAUCCACAUUGGAAGAAGCAAACAAUCUCAGUCCAAAGCCAAUAGCAAAAUCAACAAAGGAAGAAAGGAGGAUCAAAAACAGAAUCCACGAUGGAUCAUCCUGUACCUGUUAUUACCAGAAUAGGUAUUUUGUGUGGUCAUUCUACCCCAAGAAUCUAUAAUAAAGCUGCAGGAAAUUCUGACUACCAUUAUACUUAUUACCUUCUAACAUACCAGGUAUGUGACUAUCCCCACAAGAAUGGAACCACAAUUUUGUCCACUGCUACAUCCACAAAUAGGAGGCAGAUUCUAAAAUGUCCCCCAUUGACCACACACUCUGAUGUUCUGCCCUUGGUAAUCCCAUCCCUUGAGUGUGGACUCGAUCUAUUGACUUGCUUCUAA
rnacentral:lncRNA from 12 species